CUCCCAUUUCCGGAAGCCUGGCGCAAGGUUGGUCUGCAGGUGGCCUCCAGGUGCAAAGUGGGAAGUGUGAGUCCUCAGUCUUGGGCUAUUCGGCCACGUGCCUGCCGGACAUGGGACGCUGGAGGGUCAGCAGCGUGGAGUCCUGGCCUUUUGCGUCCACGGGUGGGAAAUUGGCCAUUGCCACGGCGGGAACUGGGACUCAGGCUGCCCCCCGGCCGUUUCUCAUCCGUCCACCGGACUCGUGGGCGCUCGCACUGGCGCUGAUGUAGUUUCCUGACCUCUGACCCGUAUUGUCUCCAGAUUAAAGGUACGACAUUUGGAGGCCCCAGCGAGAAACGUCACCGGGAGAAACGUCACCGGGCGAGAGCCGGGCCCGCUGUGUGCUCCCCCGGAAGGACAGCCAGCUUGUAGGGGGGAGUGCCACCUGAAAAAAAAAUUUCCAGGUCCCCAAAGGGUGACCGUCUUCCGGAGGACAGCGGAUCGACUACCAUGUGGGUGCCCACAAAAAUUCCACCUCUGAGUCCUCAACUGCUGACCCCGGGGUCAGUUCCAGAGAGAAGGACUCCCUCCUGCUUGGAAGAGACCUCACACCGUCAUCACGAUGCCAACGGCUCUGAAGGUGGAUGGCAUUCCUGCGUGGAUUCAUCACUCCCGCAUCAAAAAGGCCAACGGAGCCCAACUAGAAACAUGGGUCCCCAGGGCUGGGUCAGGCCCCUUAAAACUGCACCUAAGUUGGGUGAAGCCAUUAGAUUAAUUCUUUUUCUUAAUUUUGUAAAACAAUGCAUAGCUUCUGUCAAACUUAUGUAUCUUAAGACUCAAUAUAACCCCCUUGUUAUAACUGAGGAAUCAAUGAUUUGAUUCCCCAAAAACACAAGUGGGGAAUGUAGUGUCCAACCUGGUUUUUACUAACCCUGUUUUUAGACUCUCCCUUUCCUUUAAUCACUCAGCCUUGUUUCCACCUGAAUUGACUCUCCCUUAGCUAAGAGCGCCAGAUGGACUCCAUCUUGGCUCUUUCACUGGCAGCCGCUUCCUCAAGGACUUAACUUGUGCAAGCUGACUCCCAGCACAUCCAAGAAUGCAAUUAACUGAUAAGAUACUGUGGCAAGCUAUAUCCGCAGUUCCCAGGAAUUCGUCCAAUUGAUUACACCCAAAAGCCCCGCGUCUAUCACCUUGUAAUAAUCUUAAAGCCCCUGCACCUGGAACUAUUAACGUUCCUGUAACCAUUUAUCCUUUUAACUUUUUUGCCUACUUUAUUUCUGUAAAAUUGUUUUAACUAGACCCCCCCUCUCCUUUCUAAACCAAAGUAUAAAAGCAAAUCUAGCCCCUUCUUCAGGCCGAGAGAAUUUCGAGCGUUAGCCGUCUCUUGGCCACCAGCUAAAUAAACGGAUUCUUCAUGUGUCUCAAAGUGUGGCGUUUUCUCUAACUCGCUCAGGUACGACCGUGGUAGUAUUUUCCCCAACGUCUUAUUUUUAGGGCACGUAUGUAGAGUAACUUUUAUGAAAGAAACCAGUUAAGGAGGUUUUGGGAUUUCCUUUAUCAACUGUAAUACUGGUUUUGAUUAUUUAUUUAUUUAUUUAUUUUUUUUUUUUGAGAAGGAGUUUCACUCUUGUUGCCCAG
rnacentral:lncRNA from 1 species